CCCCCCCCCCCCCUUGCGCAUGGUGAGUAAAAUUACCUGAUGUUAGACAGAGUAAAAUAAUGAAAUUUGGAUAAAAGAAGCGCUCGAAUUUUUCAAAGAGCUCAAAUAGCACUCAAUCCUUCGGAUUCACGCUAUUUGCCUAUUUUGUACCCUGGUUCCAGAGGGAGAAGCUUUAAAAAUUGUGAGGCGAAAGAAACAAAAGGCAGAACGGAGAACCUCUGCCUCUGCUCACAUCGAUUGAAAAUCCCACUUCCACACUUGAUUAGGUUCAGAAUUUCAAUCUCGCAUGUGAUUGGCCAUUUGUAAAAACAUGACAAACGGUCAAACCAGUUUGGGAAAUAAACAUUACUGUAAGCUAAUUUAUCAGUGGCGGCGCCAGGCUUCCAAA